GAUGGAGGAGUAGAACUCUCCAGUACUCAUCCCCUGCAAAAAUAGCUUUUUAAACAGCUAUACACACAUGAAAAUACCUUCACAAGAGCUAAGGAAACCAGACUUUAUUGAAAGUCUUUCUAAUAGAGGACUCUGGCUACAAAUCAGAAAAUCAGGAUGACUAGGAUUAGAAUAAGAAUACCAAAGUUCUGAGUGGAUUUCACAAGGACUUCUGGAGAGCAUGUGUAUGCACAUGCAGAAGAAAGACAGAAAGAGCAAGAGAACACCGUCCAUCGGGUCGCAUCAUGCUGCAAGCCUCUUUCCUGAGACCCCAGCUCCUUAGAAUCCUCAGCCCUGAACACCUGCCCUGUGUGUUCUCAGGUCAACUCUGGGAUCUAAACUUACAGCCAACCAGAUGGCUCUCAGUCUUGAAGGGCAACUGAGACACCACCAUGCCAUUGCAACUG